rnacentral:rRNA from 1 species
AUGAUGCCCAGCUUGCUGGGUGGAUUAGUGGCGAACGGGUGAGUAACACGUGAGUAACCUGCCCCUGACUCUGGGAUAAGCGUUGGAAACGACGUCUAAUACUGGAUAUGAUCACUGGCCGCAUGGUCUGGUGGUGGAAAGAUUUUUUGGUUGGGGAUGGACUCGCGGCCUAUCAGCUUGUUGGUGAGGUAAUGGCUCACCAAGGCGACGACGGGUAGCCGGCCUGAGAGGGUGACCGGCCACACUGGGACUGAGACACGGCCCAGACUCCUACGGGAGGCAGCAGUGGGGAAUAUUGCACAAUGGGCGAAAGCCUGAUGCAGCAACGCCGCGUGAGGGAUGACGGCCUUCGGGUUGUAAACCUCUUUUAGUAGGGAAGAAGCGAAAGUGACGGUACCUGCAGAAAAAGCACCGGCUAACUACGUGCCAGCAGCCGCGGUAAUACGUAGGGUGCAAGCGUUGUCCGGAAUUAUUGGGCGUAAAGAGCUCGUAGGCGGUUUGUCGCGUCUGCUGUGAAAUCCCGAGGCUCAACCUCGGGCUUGCAGUGGGUACGGGCAGACUAGAGUGCGGUAGGGGAGAUUGGAAUUCCUGGUGUAGCGGUGGAAUGCGCAGAUAUCAGGAGGAACACCGAUGGCGAAGGCAGAUCUCUGGGCCGUAACUGACGCUGAGGAGCGAAAGCAUGGGGAGCGAACAGGAUUAGAUACCCUGGUAGUCCAUGCCGUAAACGUUGGGCGCUAGAUGUAGGGACCUUUCCACGGUUUCUGUGUCGUAGCUAACGCAUUAAGCGCCCCGCCUGGGGAGUACGGCCGCAAGGCUAAAACUCAAAGGAAUUGACGGGGGCCCGCACAAGCGGCGGAGCAUGCGGAUUAAUUCGAUGCAACGCGAAGAACCUUACCAAGGCUUGACAUACACCGGAAACGGCCAGAGAUGGUCGCCCCCUUGUGGUCGGUGUACAGGUGGUGCAUGGUUGUCGUCAGCUCGUGUCGUGAGAUGUUGGGUUAAGUCCCGCAACGAGCGCAACCCUCGUUCUAUGUUGCCAGCGGGUUAUGCCGGGGACUCAUAGGAGACUGCCGGGGUCAACUCGGAGGAAGGUGGGGAUGACGUCAAAUCAUCAUGCCCCUUAUGUCUUGGGCUUCACGCAUGCUACAAUGGCCGGUACAAAGGGCUGCGAUACCGUAAGGUGGAGCGAAUCCCAAAAAGCCGGUCUCAGUUCGGAUUGAGGUCUGCAACUCGACCUCAUGAAGUCGGAGUCGCUAGUAAUCGCAGAUCAGCAACGCUGCGGUGAAUACGUUCCCGGGCCUUGUACACACCGCCCGUCAAGUCAUGAAAGUCGGUAACACCCGAAGCCGGUGGCCUAACCCUUGUGGA